AACGAACGCUGGCGGCAUGCCUAACACAUGCAAGUCGAACGAAGGCUUCGGCCUUAGUGGCGCACGGGUGCGUAACGCGUGGGAAUCUGCCCUUGGGUUCGGAAUAACAGUUAGAAAUGACUGCUAAUACCGGAUGAUGUCGUAAGACCAAAGAUUUAUCGCCCAGGGAUGAGCCCGCGUAAGAUUAGGUAGUUGGUGGGGUAAAGGCCUACCAAGCCGACGAUCUUUAGCUGGUCUGAGAGGAUGAUCAGCCACACUGGGACUGAGACACGGCCCAGACUCCUACGGGAGGCAGCAGUGGGGAAUAUUGGACAAUGGGCGAAAGCCUGAUCCAGCAAUGCCGCGUGAGUGAUGAAGGCCUUAGGGUUGUAAAGCUCUUUUACCAGGGAUGAUAAUGACAGUACCUGGAGAAUAAGCUCCGGCUAACUCCGUGCCAGCAGCCGCGGUAAU
rnacentral:rRNA from 1 species